rnacentral:lncRNA from 14 species
CUCCCUCUCAGACCUACACUGUGUCUGUACCCUCUUCAGGGGAAGGAGGAGGGGAGUAGAGGGGAGAAGGAAGAAAAGGAGAGGAGGACAGAGAAAAGAAUCAUUUGGCCUCUAUAUUUGCAUUAAAGAAUAUGAAUGGACUGGAGAAAUGUCUCAGUGAUUAACAGCACACAUUGCUAUUCUGGAG